rnacentral:rRNA from 1 species
UNUGACUUGAGUGCAGAAGGGGAGAGUGGAAUUCCAUGUGUAGCGGUGAAAUGCGUAGAUAUAUGGAGGAACACCAAUGGCGAAAGCGGCUCUCUGGUCUGUCACUGACGCUGAGGCUCGAAAGCGUGGGUAGCGAACAGGAUUAGAUACCCUGGUAGUCCACGCCGUAAACGAUGAGUGCUAGGUGUUAGGCCCUUUCCGGGGCUUAGUGCCGGAGCUAACGCAAUAAGCACUCCGCCUGGGGAGUACGACCGCAAGGUUGAAACUCAAAGGAAUUGACGGGGGCCCGCACAAGCGGUGGAGCAUGUGGUUUAAUUCGAAGCAACGCGAAGAACCUUACCAGGUCUUGACAUCCCGAUGCUAUUCUUAGAGAUAGGAAGUUACUUCGGUACAUCGGAGACAGGUGGUGCAUGGUUGUCGUCAGCUCGUGUCGUGAGAUGUUGGGUUAAGUCCCGCAACGAGCGCAACCCUUAUUGUUAGUUGCCAUCAUUAAGUUGGGCACUCUAGCGAGACUGCCGGUAAUAAACCGGAGGAAGGUGGGGAUGACGUCAAAUCAUCAUGCCCCUUAUGACCUGGGCUACACACGUGCUACAAUGGUCGGUACAACGAGUUGCGAGCCGGUGACGGCAAGCUAAUCUCUGAAAGCCGAUCUCAGUUCGGAUUGGAGGCUGCAACUCGCCUCCAUGAAGUCGGAAUCGCUAGUAAUCGCGGAUCAGCACGCCGCGGUGAAUACGUUCCCGGGCCUUGUACACACCGCCCGUCACACCACGAGAGUUUGUAACACCCGAAGUCGGUGAGGUANCCUUUUAGGGG